rnacentral:misc_RNA from 1 species
GAUGAAGAACGUAGCGAAAUGCGAUAAGUAAUGUGAAUUGCAGAAUUCAGUGAAUCAUCGAAUCUUUGAACGCACCUUGCGCCCUUUGGCUAUUCCGAAGGGCAUGCCUGUUUGAGUAUCAUGAACACCUCAACUCUCGUGGUUUGCUACGAUGAGCUUGGACUUUGGGGGUUUUGCUGGCCUGUGGUCGGCUCCUCUCAAAUGAAUCAGCUUCCCAGCGUUUGGUGGAGUCGCAGGUGUGAUAACUAUCUACGCUUGUGGUUUUUCGCCAGAUAACCUUUGGUGACGGAGGUUCGUUGGGGCUCAUAAAUGUCUCUCCUCAGUGAAGACAGCUUUUGAACGUUUGAUCUCAAAUCAGGUAGGACUACCCGCUGAACUUAAGCAUAUCAAUAAGCGGAGGA